GGCUCAAGACGAACGCGUGGCGGCGUGCCUAACACAUGCAAGUCGAGCGGAGUCAGUAAGAGGAAGUUUCGGAUGGAAUCUUAUGAUUAGCGGCGGACGGGUGAGUAACGCGUGAGCGACCAACCUUGCACAGGGGGAUAACGGACCGAAAGGUUCACUAAUACCGCAUGAGACCACGGUGUUGCAUGACACAGGGGUCAAAGGAGCAAUCCGGUGCAAGACGGGCUCGCGUCCGAUUAGGUAGUUGGAGGGGUAACGGCCCACCAAGCCUAUGAUCGGUAGCCGACCUGAGAGGGUGAUCGGCCACAUUGGAACUGAGAUACGAUCCAAACUCCUACGGGAGGCAGCAGUGGGGAAUAUUGGGGCCAAUGGGGGAAACCCUGACCCAGCAACGCCGCGUGAAGGAAGAAGGUUUUCGGAUUGUAAACUUCUGUCCUUGGUGAAGAGAAGAAGACGGUAGCCAAGGAGGAAGCCCCGGCUAACUACGUGCCAGCCGCCGC
rnacentral:rRNA from 1 species